UUAUUUUUUAACCAAAGGCUUCACUCCUUGAAUGGCACUGGUAGAAUUCACGGGGUAUCACUGACCGUGGACUAUCAAUUGCCAUACAUGGCGUGUAAGUGAUGUCGUCUGGAAGAUG
rnacentral:precursor_RNA from 10 species